AAAACUCAGCUUUGCCCCUGCACGGAGUUUCCCUUCGCGGGGCCCGCUGGGGAAGCAUCCGCGGCUUGUGGUGGCUGUGGUUUUGUGCCCAGGACUCACACGUAAAAGGAGCUCAUUCGGAGGCAGGGGCACGCGCUUGUCCCCAGAACUCAAACCCCAGAGUCCCUCCGGCAGAUGAGAGUGGAGGUUGUAAAUCACCCUCCAUGCAAUGGUUCAUCAUAAAGGAUAUGGAGCAAAAUUAGAGGAGGCACGAGAAGGAAAGCCGGUGAUGAACAAGGAUUUGCCUCAACUACAGAGACAGCAUGGAACACGCCCUCCUAGGCUGCCCACAUCCUCAUCUGCAUGGGGGCACAGAAGCCUGGCCAUUCAUCCCAUGGGAGACUCAGGACAUGCUCCCAGCAACCUGAUGGGCUGCCCAAGGCUUGGCUGAUCCUGCAUCCCUGCAUCACAUCUCAGCUUCUCCCUCUGCCCAAAUCUACUUCCUCCCCAUUCCUUUCACAGGCAUUGAUUCCCUGAUAAACACCUUGCACCCCAUAUUCCAUCUCAGAGUCUCCUUGCAGAGAACCCAACCUGUGGCAGAGCUGGUCUCAGGACUCGGAGCGAGGGAGCAGGGAAAGAGGACAGGAAAGCAGGGAGAGUCAAUUUAAGGGUAUGUUGUCUGAGACAAAGAUUCUGCUAGGACCUCUGAGAUGGGUACAAGAUGCCUGGAGCCAUUCACUGGGCAGUAUCUGUCCAUCAGCUCCCAGGCCCCACAGAACCGGAGCUGCCUGUGAGGGCUUUCACUGCCCUGCAUUUCUGGGCUUCACAUAUGCACUGGCUGAGAGGGCUCCCUGUCUUCAAGGACGAUCCUGAGCAGAAAGUGGGUGCACUUGAGGUGGCAUGCUGUUGCGAGAGUCUGAGCUUUAUGAGAAGCAGACCCAGGGGGCAUGGUGUGGGGCAUCCCAAAGGACCUGCCAUACAUUAGGUGCCUUGGUCUUGGGGAGGAGCCCUCGGGAGUUCUGAGGGUGGGAGAAGAGGUAGGUGGGGUUAAUCCUUUCCCAUUCCCUCCCUGCCUCAGCACCAUGGCUCAGGCAGUAGCGCUGCCAGCUCCUCCUGGGAUCAGAGUUAUGGCCCUGCUCCCCUUGUCCCUUCAGGCUGAGGAACAUAAGGGCUUCCCAUGGUUGCUGGUGUCUGAGUGCCUCAACCUCCCUUGCUGGUUCCUUUCCCCUGCCCACACCUUUGUCAAUAGUUCCCCCCACUGAAGUCUCUUUGGUUGAGCAGUUGGUGGGGAUGCUGACUGAUAAAGUGGUCUAGGCCACUGCUCACUGCUUAAAGCCUUGCUUCAGAGAGACCUUCCAGGGCCCUGCAGCUCCCCCUUCUCCAACCCCUCCAACCCCUCCAACCUUUCUCUCUCCCAGCUGGUCUGGGUUCCCUACGGCAUCUACUUGCUUUUGAAUCUAUUUCUUAUAGAUACAUGUGUGUCCUCCUCUUUCACAGCCUUACCUUUUCAUAUGGAGGAAGAAAAAACCCAUUUCUAUAAAGCUAUUAAAUGUUUUCCUUUCACAAACACCAGUUUUGUACAUCAGAAGCACUGCCUUUCAUGCCUAUUGAAUUCUCGGAAAUGGGCUUCGAGUGCCUAUUUCAGGAGUUGAAAUCUGAACAUCAGCUCUUUCUUCCUCUCUGCAUUCCUGCCACACAGUCCUAAUCCUCUCCAGUGUGAUGGAUCCCUCUGGCUGGGUAGAAGGGAGAUCAUUUAAAGGAAAUUUGAAAAAGAAAAGAAUAGUAUUCCAUUUCAAGAGAUUUUUCUCCUGACACAGUUAUUUUCAACAGGUGACAGGUAUUGAUACUGAUGAAAGAUUCUUGAGUGAAUACAAACCACUCCCCACCCCCAUCCCCAGCAUACAUUCUCUAGAAAUUCCAGAAUGCCCAGUGAGUGGAUUCAUUCCACAUAUAUUUAGUGCCUAACUACAUGCCAAGGAGCUGGGUGCUAAGAACAAAAAAGUAUGAUUCCUGCCCUCUGCCAUAGAGUUUGUGAUCUGUGUUGAUGCAUUAAAGAUUAAUCCAAUGAUUACACAAAA
ensembl:lncRNA LINC00877 long intergenic non-protein coding RNA 877